rnacentral:rRNA from 1 species
AACGAACGCUGGCGGCAUGCUUAACACAUGCAAGUCGAACGGAAAGGCCCUGCUUUUGUGCGCUGCUCGGGUGACGGACGGGUAAGUAACACGUAGGUAACGUGCACUUGCCUUUGGGGGAUCUUCAGGAAGCUGAGGGUCAUACCGCAUAGGAUCUCCUGCUGCUUGGUGGGGGUGGGUUGGUUUCGCCGGUUGGGGAUGGACUGGCGGAUUAUCAGCUUGUUGGUUGGGUAGUGGCAUACCAAGACUGGGAAGGGUAGCAGGCCUGAGCGGGUGAGCUGCCACACUGGGCCUGAGCUACGGCACAGACUCCAAUGGGAGGCAGGAGUGGGGAGGAUUGUACAAUGGGAUGAAGCCUGAUGUAGCCACGCCGCGUGCGGGAUGACGGCCUGCGGGUAGGGAACCGCAGCCGUCUGAGACGAAGCGUGAGUGACGGUAAUGGGUGAAUAAGCACCGGCUAACUACGUG